rnacentral:rRNA from 1 species
UACCUGGUCUUGACAUCCUCGGAACCCUGCGGAGAUGCGGGGGUGCCUUCGGGGGCCGAGAGACAGGUGCUGCAUGGCUGUCGUCAGCUCGUGUCGUGAGAUGAUGGGUUAAGUCCCGCAACGAGCGCAACCCUUGUCCCUAGUUGCCAUCAUUUAGUUGGGAACUCUAGGGAGACCGCCGGUGACAAACCGGAGGAAGGUGGGGAUGACGUCAAGUCAUCAUGGCCCUUAUGACCAGGGCUACACACGUGCUACAAUGGCCGGUACAAAGGGCUGCCAACCCGCAAGGGGGAGCCAAUCCCAAAAAGCCGGUCGUAGUCCGGAUCGGAGUCUGCAACUCGACUCCGUGAAGUCGGAAUCGCUAGUAAUCGCAGAUCAGCAUUGCUGCGGUGAAUACGUUCCCGGGUCUUGUACACACGC